rnacentral:rRNA from 1 species
AUUGAACGCUGGCGGCAUGCCUUACACAUGCAAGUCGAACGGCAGCACGGGUGCUUGCACCUGGUGGCGAGUGGCGAACGGGUGAGUAAUACAUCGGAACAUGUCCUGUAGUGGGGGAUAGCCCGGCGAAAGCCGGAUUAAUACCGCAUACGAUCUACGGAUGAAAGCGGGGGACCUUCGGGCCUCGCGCUAUAGGGUUGGCCGAUGGCUGAUUAGCUAGUUGGUGGGGUAAAGGCCUACCAAGGCGACGAUCAGUAGCUGGUCUGAGAGGACGACCAGCCACACUGGAACUGAGACACGGCCCAGACUCCUACGGGAGGCAGCAGUGGGGAAUUUUGGACAAUGGGCGAAAGCCUGAUCCAGCAAUGCCGCGUGUGUGAAGAAGGCCUUCGGGUUGUAAAGCACUUUUGUCCGGAAAGAAAUCCUUGACCCUAAUACGGUCGGGGGAUGACGGUACCGGAAGAAUAAGCACCGGCUAACUACGUG